AUUGAACGCUGGCGGAAUGCUUUACACAUGCAAGUCGAACGGCAGCACGGACUUCGGUCUGGUGGCGAGUGGCGAACGGGUGAGUAAUGUAUCGGAACGUGCCUAGUCGUGGGGGAUAACGUAGUGAAAAUUACGCUAAUACCGCAUACGAUCUAUGGAUGAAAGCGGGGGAUCGCAAGACCUCGCGCGAUUGGAGCGGCCGAUAUCAGAUUAGGUAGUUGGUGGGGUAAAGGCCCACCAAGCCAACGAUCUGUAGCUGGUCUGAGAGGACGACCAGCCACACUGGAACUGAGACACGGUCCAGACUCCUACGGGAGGCAGCAGUGGGGAAUUUUGGACAAUGGGCGAAAGCCUGAUCCAGCCAUUCCGCGUGCAGGAUGAAGGCCCUCGGGUUGUAAACUGCUUUUGUACAGAACGAAAAGGUUUCUACUAAUACUAGGAGCUCAUGACGGUACUGUAAGAAUAAGCACCGGCUAACUACGUGCCAGCAGCCGCCGUAA
rnacentral:rRNA from 1 species